rnacentral:rRNA from 2 species
AGGUUAAGUUAAGAAGGGCGCACGGUGGAUCUUGGCACUAGGAGCCGAUGAAGGACGGUACUAACACCGAUAUGCUUCGGGGAGCUGUACGUAAGCUUUGAUCCGGAGAUUUCCGAAUGGGGGAACCCAGCCAACUUAGUCGUUGGUUACUCAUAAGUGAAUACAUAGCUUAUGAGAGGUAAACGUGGGGAACUGAAACAUCUCAGUACCUGCAGGAACAGAAAGAAAAUUCGAUUCCCUAAGUAGCGGCGAGCGAACGGGGAACAGCCCAAACCAUGAUGCUUGCAUUGUGGGGUUGUAGGACUGAACUUUGGAGUUACCAAAGUCGUUGAUAACUGAGUCAGUUGGAAUGCUGAACAAAACAGGGUGAAAGUCCCGUARGUCAAAUCAACGGCUCUUCGUUCAGGAUCCUGAGUACGGCGGAACACGUGAAAUUCCGUCGGAAUCUGGGAGGACCAUCUCCCAAGGCUAAAUACUACCUAGUGACCGAUAGUGGACCAGUACCGUGAGGGAAAGGUGAAAAGAACCCCGGAAGGGAGUGAAACAGUUCCUGAAACCGUGUGCCUACAAUUAGUUAGAGCCCGUUAAUGGGURAUAGCGUGCCUUUUGUAGAAUGAACCGGCGAGUUACGUUUGCAUGCGAGGUUAAGCUGAUAAGGCGGAGCCAUAGCGAAAGCGAGUCUGAAUAGGGCGUUUAGUAUGUAGACGUAGACCCGAAACCAAGUGACCUACCCAUGUCCAGGUUGAAGGUGUGGUAAAACACACUGGAGGACCGAACCCGUGUAUGUUGAAAAUGCUGGGAUGAGGUGUGGGUAGCGGUGAAAUUCCAAACGAACUUGGAGAUAGCUGGUUCUCUUCGAAAUAGCUUUAGGGCUAGCCUCGGAAUUGACCAUCAUGGAGGUAGAGCACUGUUUGGACUAGGGCCCGUCUUGGGUUACUGAAUUCAGAUAAACUCCGAAUGCCAUUGAUGAAUUAUCCGGGAGUCAGACAGUGAGUGAUAAGAUCCAUUGUCGAAAGGGAAACAGCCCAGACCACCAGUUAAGGUCCCCAAAUUUAUGUUAAGUGGAAAAGGAUGUGGGGUUGCAUAGACAACUAGGAUGUUGGCUCAGAAGCAGCCAYCAUUUAAAGAGUGCGUAAUAGCUCACUAGUCGAGUGACCYUGCGCCGAAAAUGUACCGGGGCUAAACAUAAUACCGAAACUGUGGAUGACCACUUAUGUGGUAUGGUAGGAGAGCGUUCUAAGGGCGUUGAAGGUUGAUCGUGAGGACAACUGGAGCGCUUAGAAGUGAGAAUGCCGGUAUGAGUAGCGAAAGACAGGUGAGAAUCCUGUCCACCGUAUGACUAAGGUUUCCUGGGGAAGGCUCGUCCUCCCAGGGUUAGUCGGGACCUAAGCUGAGGCCGCAAGGCGUAAGCGAUGGCCAACAGGUUGAGAUUCCUGUACUAGUUUAUUUUGUUUGAACGAUGGAGGGACGCAGGAGGCUAAAGGAUCCGCACGAUUGGAAAUGUGCGGCCAAGCAAUCAGUCUUGGUGUGAGUCAAAUGCUUGCACCUGUACGGACAAGUUGUGAUGGGGAGCGAAUUUAAGUAGCGAAGUCCUUGAUGUCACACUGCCGAGAAAAGCUUCUAGUGAGAAAUAAACUACCCGUACCGCAAACCGACACAGGUAGUCGAGGAGAGUAUCCUCAGGUGUGCGAGAGAACUCUCGUUAAGGAACUCGGCAAAAUGACCCCGUAACUUCGGAAGAAGGGUGCUGAUCUAACGAUCAGCCGCAGUGAAUAGGCCCAGGCGACUGUUUAUCAAAACACAGGUCUCUGCUAAAUCGUAAGAUGACGUAUAGGGGCUGACGCCUGCCCGGUGCUGGAAGGUUAAGUGGAUGAGUUAGUACUUCGGUACGAAGCCCAGAAAUGAAGCCCCAGUAAACGGCGGCCGUAACUAUAACGGUCCUAAGGUAGCGAAAUUCCUUGUCGGGUAAGUUCCGACCCGCACGAAAGGCGUAACGAUCUGGGCACUGUCUCGACGAGAGACUCGGUGAAAUUAUAAUACCCGUGAAGAUGCGGGUUACCCGCGACAGGACGGAAAGACCCCAUGGAGCUUUACUGUAGCUUGAUAUUGAGUGUUUGUACUGCUUGUACAGGAUAGGUAGGAGCCGUUGAAGCCGGAACGCUAGUUUCGGUGGAGGCAUUGGUGGGAUACUACCCUUGCWGUAUGAACCUCUAACCCGCGCCACUYAGCGUGGCGGGAGACAGUGUCAGGUGGGCAGUUUGACUGGGGCGGUCGCCUCCUAAAAAGUAACGGAGGCGCCCAAAGGUUCCCUCAGAAUGGUUGGAAAUCAUUCAUAGCGUGUAAAGGCAUAAGGGAGCUUGACUGCGAGACUUACAGGUCGAGCAGGGACGAAAGUCGGGCUUAGUGAUCCGGUGGUUCCGUAUGGAAGGGCCAUCGCUCAACGGAUAAAAGCUACCCUGGGAUAACAGGCUUAUCUCCCCCAAGAGUCCACAUCGACGGGGAGGUUUGGCACCUCGAUGUCGGCUCAUCACAUCCUGGGGCUGUAGUUGGUCCCAAGGGUUGGGCUGUUCGCCCAUUAAAGUGGUACGCGAGCUGGGUUCAGAACGUCGUGAGACAGUUCGGUCCCUAUCCGUCGCGGGCGUAGGAAAUUUGAGUGGAGCUGUUCCUAGUACGAGAGGACCGGAAUGGACAUACCGCUGGUGUACCAGUUGUGCCGCCAGGCGCAUCGCUGGGUAGCUAAGUAUGGCCGGGAUAAACGCUGAAAGCAUCUAAGUGUGAAGCCCCCACAAGAUGAGAUUUCCCAUUCCUUUAUGGAAGUAAGACCCCUGAAAGAUGAUCAGGUAGAUAGGUUGGAAGUGGACGUGUCGUGAGGCAUGGAGCGGACCAAUACUAAUCGGUCGAGGACUUAACCAAG